rnacentral:rRNA from 1 species
UGCAGAAUUCAGUGAAUCAUUGAAUCUUUGAACGCAUCUUGCACCUUUUGGUAUUCCAAAAGGUACACCUGUUUGAGUGUCAU